rnacentral:tRNA from 1 species
GUUAUUAAUUUAAUAUAAAAUAUUAAUUUUGUAAAUUAAAAAUAAAUUCUAUUUAUAACU